GAACGCUAGCGGCAGGCCUAACACAUGCAAGUCGAGGGGUAACAUUUGUGCUUGCACAAGAUGACGACCGGCGCACGGGUGCGCACCGCGUAUGGAACCUACCUUGUACAGGGGAAUAGCCCAGGGAAACUUGGAUUAAUGCCCCGUAGUACCGUGACCCGGCAUCGGGAUACGGUUAAAGCCUUCGGGCGGUAUAAGAUGGCCAUGCGUCCCAUUAGCUUGUUGGUAAGGUAACGGCUUACCAAGGCUACGAUGGGUAGGGGCCCUGAGAGGGGGAUCCCCCACACUGGUACUGAGACACGGACCAGACUCCUACGGGAGGCAGCAGUGAGGAAUAUUGGACAAUGGAGGAGACUCUGAUCCAGCCAUGCCGCGUGCAGGAAGAAUGCCCUAUGGGUAGUAAACUGCUUUUAUACGGGAAGAAAAAAGAGUACGUGUACUCUACUGACGGUACCGUAAGAAUAAGGACCGGCUAACUCCGUGCCAGCAGCCGCGGUAAUACGGAGGGUCCGAGCGUUAUCCGGAAUUAUUGGGUUUAAAGGGUCCGUAGGCGGGCCGAUAAGUCAGGGGUGAAAGUUUGCAGCUCAACUGUAAAAUUGCCUUUGAUACUGUUGGUCUUGAGUUAUAGUGAAGUUGCCGGAAUAUGUAAUGUAGCGGUGAAAUGCAUAGAUAUUACAUAGAACACCGAUUGCGAAGGCAGGUGACUAACUAUAUACUGACGCUGAUGGACGAAAGCGUGGGGAGCGAACAGGAUUAGAUACCCUGGUAGUCCACGCCGUAAACGAUGGAUACUAGCUGUCCGAGGCCUUGAGUCUUGGCGGCCAAGCGAAAGUGAUAAGUAUCCCACCUGGGGAGUACGUUCGCAAGAAUGAAACUCAAAGGAAUUGACGGGGGCCCGCACAAGCGGUGGAGCAUGUGGUUUAAUUCGAUGAUACGCGAGGAACCUUACCAGGGCUUAAAUGCAUAUUGACAGGUCUAGAGAUAGAUUUUCCUUCGGGCAAUUUGCAAGGUGCUGCAUGGUUGUCGUCAGCUCGUGCCGUGAGGUGUCAGGUUAAGUCCUAUAACGAGCGCAACCCCUACCGUUAGUUGCCAGCAUGUCAUGAUGGGGACUCUAACGGGACUGCCGGUGCAAACCGUGAGGAAGGUGGGGAUGACGUCAAAUCAUCACGGCCCUUACGUCCUGGGCCACACACGUGCUACAAUGGUAGGUACAGAGAGCAGCCACGUCGCAAGGCGGAGCGAAUCUAUAAAACCUAUCACAGUUCGGAUCGGGGUCUGCAACUCGACCCCGUGAAGCUGGAAUCGCUAGUAAUCGGAUAUCAGCCAUGAUCCGGUGAAUACGUUCCCGGGCCUUGUACACACCGCCCGUCAAGCCAUGGAAGCCGGGAGUGCCUGAAGUCCGUCACCGUAAGGAGCGGCCUAGGGCAAGAUCGGUAACUAGGGCUAAGUCGUAACAAGGUAGCCGUACGG
rnacentral:rRNA from 1 species